AGCGUAGCACUCCUUAGCUGGUGGCGCGCUGUCGAAAGCUGCGCGUGGCGCCCCUGUCCGGUUGCGCGAGAGUU
rnacentral:snoRNA from 1 species